rnacentral:rRNA from 1 species
CCUACGGGCGGCAGCAGUGGGGAAUAUUGGUCAAUGGACGCAAGCCUGAACCAGCCAAGCCGCGUGCAGGAAGACGGCCCUAUGAGUUGUAAACUGCUUUUGUCCGAGAACAAACGCAGAGACGCGUAUCUGUCUGAAAGUAUCGGAAGAAAAAGGAUCGGCUAACUCCGUGCCAGCAGCCGCGGUAAUACGGAGGAUGCGAGCGUUAUCCGGAUUUAUUGGGUUUAAAGGGUGCGUAGGCGGUCGGAUAAGUUAGAGGUGAAAGCCCGAGGCUCAACGUCGGAGUUGCCUCUGAUACUGGUCGGCUAGAGAGUAGUUGCGGUAGGCGUAAGGUAUGGUGUAGCGGUGAAAUGCUUAGAGAGCAUACAGAACGGCGAUUGAGAAGGCAGCUUACCACGCUACUUCUGACGUUGAGGCACGAAAGCGUGGGGAGCAAACAGGAUUAGAGACCCCGGUAGUC